rnacentral:tRNA from 1 species
GGAGGUAUGGCUUAGUUGGAAAGUGCUUGGCAUGCAAGAGGUCCUGGGUUCAAUCCUCAAUACUGCCA